AGUGGGAUAACUGGGUCAAAUGGUAGUCCAUUUCAAGUUUUCUGAGGAAUCUCUAUACUGCUUUCCAGAGUGAUUGCACCAAUUUGCAGUUCCACCAGCAAU
rnacentral:pre_miRNA from 1 species